CUGGUGCCAGCAGCCGCGGUAAUUCCAGCUCCAAUAGCGUAUAUUAAAGUUGUUGCAGUUAAAAGAGCUCGUAGUUGGAUCUUGGAACGUUUGUUUCGUCCAUUCUUUACGGGAUGGGCGGGACACUUGAUAUAACAUCUGGUCCGCUCGAUAAGAGUGUGUACUGAUGUUGACGUUCUUACAAACCUUUCCAGUUUAUCCACCUCUGUCAUUCACUUGGCGGGGGAAUAAUGGAUCUGGAACAUUUACUUUGAAAAAAUUAGAGUGUUCAAAGCAGACAAGUAAUUGUCAUUGAAUAGUUCAGCAUGGGAUAAUAGAAUAGGACCACGUUCUUAUUUUCAGUUGGUUUUUAAGAGUGUGGUAAUGAUUAAUAGGAACGGUCGGGGGCAUUGGUAUUUAGUUGUCAGAGGUGAAAUUCUUAGAUUUACGAAAGACCAACAUGGGCGAAAGCAUUUGCCAAGGACGUUUUCAUUAAUCAAGAACGAAAGUUUGGGGAUCGAAGACGAUCAGAUACCGUCGUAGUCCAAA
rnacentral:rRNA from 1 species